UACGGAGGGGGGCUAGCGUUGUUCGGAAUUACUGGGCGUAAAGCGCACGUAGGCGGCUUUGUAAGUUAGAGGUGAAAGCCCGGGGCUCAACUCCGGAAUUGCCUUUGAGACUGCAUCGCUAGAAUUGUGGAGAGGUAAGUGGAAUUCCGAGUGUAGAGGUGAAAUUCGUAGAUAUUCGGAAGAACACCAGUGGCGAAGGCGACUUACUGGACACAUAUUGACGCUGAGGUGCGAAAGCGUGGG
rnacentral:rRNA from 1 species